ensembl:ncRNA T19D2.7 ncRNA
CCUAUCUGGACUAUUCAUCAAAACGUAUGUAUCGCUGUGAUGGUCAUAAAGUUGUCGGCAAAAUAUGAUUAUUGCAUGGGGAGGCGGUAGUAAUAAGACGGACGUCAGUUUCUCUAUGUGUGUCAAUGGUACCGACUUGCCGCCGAAAUAACAUCACACAACAUCCCGGGAGGAACUAUCAAAAGCAUGUACGCCAUCCGAUAAAGCAAAU